rnacentral:rRNA from 1 species
ACUCCUGACUGACCGAUAGUGAACCAGUACCGUGAGGGAAAGGCGAAAAGAACCCCGGCGAGGGGAGUGAAAAAGAACCUGAAACCGUGUACGUACAAGCAGUGGGAGCACCCUUCGGGGUGUGACUGCGUACCUUUUGUAUAAUGGGUCAGCGACUUAUAUUCUGUAGCAAGGUUAACCGAAUAGGGGAGCCGGAGGGAAACCGAGUCUUAAUUGGGCGUUAAGUUGCAGGGUAUAGACCCGAAACCCGGUGAUCUAGCCAUGGGCAGGUUGAAGGUUGGGUAACACUAACUGGAGGACCGAACCGACUAAUGUUGAAAAAUUAGCGGAUGACCUGUGGCUGGGGGUGAAAGGCCAAUCAAACCGGGAGAUAGCUGGUUCUCCCCGAAAGCUAUUUAGGUAGCGCCUCGUGAAUUCAUCUCCGGGGGUAGAGCACUGUUUCGGCUAGGGGGCCAUCCCGGCUUACCAACCCGAUGCAAACUGCGAAUACCGGAGAAUGUUAUCACGGGAGACACACGGCGGGUGCUAACGUCCGUCGUGAAGAGGGAAACAACCCAGACCGCCAGCUAAGGUCCCAAAGUCAUGGUUAAGUGGGAAACGAUGUGGGAAGGCCCAGACAGCCAGGAUGUUGGCUUAGAAGCAGCCAUCAUUUAAAGAAAGCGUAAUAGCUCACUGGUCGAGUCGGCCUGCGCGGAAGAUGUAACGGGGCUAAACCAUGCACCGAAGCUGCGGCAGCGACACUGUGUGUUGUUGGGUAGGGGAGCGUUCUGUAAGCCUGCGAAGGUGGCCUGUGAGGGUUGCUGGAGGUAUCAGAAGUGCGAAUGCUGACAUAAGUAACGAUAAAGCGGGUGAAAAGCCCGCUCGCCGGAAGACCAAGGGUUCCUGUCCAACGUUAAUCGGGGCAGGGUGAGUCGACCCCUAAGGCGAGGCCGAAAGGCGUAGUCGAUGGGAAACGGGUUAAUAUUCCCGUACUUGGUGUUACUGCGAAGGGGGGACGGAGAAGGCUAUGUUGGCCGGGCGACGGUU